GGUGCACAAACACGAUAUACGUAAACAUACAUGCAAAAGUAGAUAUAUAUUUAUAAUACGCAUAUAAACAUAUGUAUAUCUCCAUCAGCACUGAAAGUGGAAUUAGUUCAAAAUAGUUUACAAGAUCUUAACAUUAAGCCUCUGCUAAACGAUUAUAAAAAAGGGUUAAAGUAUCCUUACCUGGAGUUUGAUCAGAAAAUAUGUCAGGAUCCUCACUAGAUUUGGUUUACGAUGUUCUCUAAAUGCAACUAUUGUUUGAUUAGUUUUCUUAUUUACAAAUAAAGAACAAGUGCAUUAGACAACAAAUAAUUUUAGAAACGAACACAACACGAGAGAUAUUUCAGGACACUUGGGAUCAACAAUAUAUUUCAGGACUCACACAAUACUCAUUAAGGCACCAAAAACUUAAAUCUUAUAAAAAAACUCUUCAUAUUUAAUCCACCAUCAAUAGACUGAUAGGAACUAAGAUCAUUGAGAAAUUAAAAAAGUAGGAAUAGGAAAAACACUAUAAGGAAUACUUUGAUAAAUUGAUCCAACUCCUUACUCAACAAGAAAGAUGGAAACACUUUACUAGUUGAAAAAAAAUUAUAAUUUUAUUGAUUAAAAAUUUAAUGGUUACAACUAAAAAUUGAAAAUUUAUUUAUAGAGUAAGCAAUAUGCAAUACAAGAAAAAAAAAAUUCUAAAUUAAUUAUAAAAAAUUAAAUAUAAACUGAAAUGGGAAAAUACUAAAAAUAGAUAGCAUUAUAAUCAAAAUAAAGUAGAUAUGAUCUGCCAUCUUUUAAAUGAAAAAUAUCUUAAUUAAUUAUGGAGAUGAUUAAAAAGAGAAUCAUGAAAGAUUUUAACCUAUUUAGGAAAGAAUUAAUUGCUCUCAUAAUCUCUUCAAAGUCCAUGAGAUUUCAAUGUCCCAUUAAGGCAUGAGAUCUGAUUUCCUCCUCUUGAUUUCCUAUGCAGUUUAGUAAGAAAAUCCCCCCUUGAUUGACUCACCCUUUAAGGAAGAAGAUUGCUGGCAGGUUUGGGAGAAGAAAUCCCUUAUGGGAUCGUUCUUUUCCACUUGCAUUGAGAUAUAUGUGCCAAGAUGUCCUUGGAUUAAGGGACUUAUUUUCUUCUUGUUUUGGGCUUAUUUAAAUGAUCCAAUACCAUAACCACAUUAUUCCAUUUUUUAAUGAAGAGUUGAAAAGUUUGUUAUAAUCUUUUUACUCUCCCUCUUGUAAUGGCCUACUUCAUAUUAUAAUAUUUUUAUGGUCCACACACACGUAAAAAAGAGGAGCCAAUUUUACCUUGUACCUGCAGUCCCAGUCGCCGGAGCACUACGCACCACCGCGCGGGCCGCCACCUGCAGGUAACUAGAAUCACCAUACGCCGUCACGUUUUAAGGUGCACUGCCACCUGUGCCUACACGCGCCGACACACACACUGUUGGAAUCACCCUGGACGGUGUGGUACGCGCUCAGAUUCGCCUCGUCUCCUAUCUCGUUCGGAGAUCCAGAACGGAUCAUGCUGCCAUCGUCCACGCUGCCUCUUCUCUCACCAGACAGAAUCGAUUUGCCACGACGCCGAUCUUCUUCUUUUGCUGCACGCAGAGGCGGUGUUUCCUGGCUGCGUCACGCACCAACAGCUGUGUAGAUUUGGAUAUGACUUUCUGUUCUCCCUGCAUCGCGCGUCAAUAAAGCCUCCUUCGUCUCCUGUUCAGAUCCGGCCGCGUCCAGAACAAAACGCCACUUCUGCAAAUUGGGAAUGGCACAACACCGCUUCGAUGCUGUCGUAACACCCGACCGCACGAUUCAUCUUCCCCAGUGCGCCUCCUUUUUCUCUUCUCACUCUUCUUCUUCUUCUUCUUCUUCUUCUUCUUCCUCAAAACGAUGUCGUUUUGAGGUUUCUCAACAUGGCGUCGUUUUGGGGUUCCUCAAAACGACGUCCUUUUGAUCUUAUCUGCUUCCGGUGCCCAGCCGUUUUGAGGCAAAUGGGUUGGUUUAUGAAAAUUAUCGAAUGACCCCCAAAUCUUGUAAAUUUAUUCAUUUAGGUCCUUGUUUAAUUAUAGAGUGGCUUGGACUCUUCAAAAUUUAUUUUCAAUUUGGUCUUUUUUCCAAUUUAUUAAUUUUUAAGGUUACGUUUUACAUUUUUAUAUUUUAGGACUCAUUUUUACUUCCAAAGCGUGAAUUUGCAUUCAAAUUCUAAUUUACACAAACUAAGGUGUUACAUAGGGGAAGUAAUCUAACCCCUAAUCCUACAUAUAUAUUAUGAAUUUAUUUAAUUAAUAAAUUUAGUUGUGUG
rnacentral:lncRNA from 1 species